rnacentral:lncRNA from 1 species
CAUUAUUCACAGCUCGGAACUGACUCUCUGAAGAUUCAAUCUCACCUCCUAGUCCUCUGGAGCCACGCCAAGUUGCCUCUGUUGGGAGCUGCCUUCCAGCUUUGCCUUGCUUCUUGAGAUUUGGCAGAUAGAAGCCUGUCUGUGCCAAUCACCCUGGCUAUGUGGUGUGGCUUAUUUUUUCAGUACACCACAGGACAGAAUGGACAGGGAGGAACAGCACCUUCAGAAGACAGAUGCAGGGGGCACCAAUAAACUGGGAGAAUGUUGAACAUUUUGAUCCAGAUCCCCUAAGGAGCAUCUCUUUAACCCUCCCUGCUGCCAUUUACAAACAGAACAAAGAAACUGGCCAGUCACCCAAGUAGAACCUCAAGUCCUUCCUUGCAGCUGACGACUUCCAAAUGGGCUGUUUCUCAAACUCUCGGUUGCAAGACCUCCCUGGAGACACGCUUACUUCUUGUAAGGCUGUUAAGAGCCAAAAGAAAUGACGAUAAAGGUUCCAGUGGGUAGUUUUGACUUGUUACCAGCCCUUUGUUUUCAGACUCACAAUCACCAAGUUCCUGAUUUCUUUUAAUGAGGCUUUCUCUCACAUGCGUGCUCACACAAAGACACAACCACAGUGGG